rnacentral:lncRNA from 1 species
GACCUCCCAGAUCCUACCUUUGAAGCUCAUUGUCGUCUGCCAUUGUUUGUUCGAUAAAUUCCCUGUUGGGUUCUCCAUAUUGAUGUGUUGCAAUUUUCUGUGAUCUCUGGUUUACCUGAAAUUAUUCUCAACCGCUGCAUGUGAAUGGUGUGGUUCCAUUGUGCCUGGUCUACGGCAUUUGUUGCAAAGUAAAUAAUUGGAUUGCCAGCAUCUAUAGAUGGUGAUACUGCACAGAAGUAUGCCCUAAUUUGCCUCGUUUAUGUUGCAUGUAGAUGUUCCAGCUAAUUGUGUUACAUUGCUGCCCAAGAUUCGUUGCAAAUACUAGCGAUUGUUGUAGAUCUUAUUUCUCAGAAUGUUGGGUGCCACUAUCAUGCUGCUUGUCACCUUUCCUUCUUCUAGGGAAUGAGCACAUGGUGCUAAUACCACCCAUAGAAGUCAUAAUGAGUGACAAGAGAUGACAGAUUUAAUUUUUCCUGCAAAAAAAAAAGUAAUGUUAAUGUAUAAAAGUUCUUCAUUAGCUCCUCCUGUUGUAUUUUGGCCUUUUGUUCUGAUUGCUGUUGCUCAUGGGGGUAAUGUGUCCUCACAUAUGCCUGAUUCCCUAUAAGUUGCGCAUUGUAUCCAUCCUUAUGUUGUGUUUCUUUUUUCCAUAGGUGCAUCAUCCAGCUAAACUCCCUUUAUCAUGGGAGAUUU